AUCAUAUUUUAAAAACAUAAAGCGAAAUAAUAUUUAUAUCAACAUAAAACUUUAACAAAUACUUAGCAAAUACGAAAGACAAAUUAAACACUUAUACAUUUUUAUACUAAAAAUACAUAAAGUCCUUCAAAGCUACAUAGGCUAAUGAAUCCAUAAUAUCCACUUAUCUUAGGUCCUUAGUAGUCGUAUUUCAAACCUUUCAAUUUCC
rnacentral:lncRNA from 1 species